UCGAGAAUCAUUCACAAUGAGGGAAACCCUGAUGGUGCGACGCCGCGUGGGGGAAUGAAGGUCUUCGGAUUGUAAACCCCUGUCAUGUGGGAGCAAAUUAAAAAGAUAGUACCACAAGAGGAAGAGACGGCUAACUCUGUGCCAGCAGCCGCGGUAAUACAGAGGUCUCAAGCGUUGUUCGGAAUCACUGGGCGUAAAGCGUGCGUAGGCGGUUUCGUAAGUCGUGUGUGAAAGGCGGGGGCUCAACCCCCGGACUGCACAUGAUACUGCGAGACUAGAGUAAUGGAGGGGGAACCGGAAUUCUCGGUGUAGCAGUGAAAUGCGUAGAUAUCGAGAGGAACACUCGUGGCGAAGGCGGGUUCCUAGACAUUAACUGACGCUGAGGCACGAAGGCCAGGGGAGCGAAAGGG
rnacentral:rRNA from 1 species